ACGCUCGACACCUACGGGGGGCAGCAGUCGGGAAUAUUGCGCAAUGGAGGAAACUCUGACGCAGUGACGCCGCGUAUAGGAAGAAGGUUUUCGGAUUGUAAACUAUUGUCGUUAGGGAAGAAAAAGGACAGUACCUAAGGAGGAAGCUCCGGCUAACUACGUGCCACNNCGCGUAUNUNAGCGGCGUGNGAGACG
rnacentral:rRNA from 1 species